rnacentral:rRNA from 1 species
CGGACGGGUGAGUAAUGCUUGGGAAUCUAGCUUAUGGAGGGGGAUAACUACGGGAAACUGUAGCUAAUACCGCGUAAUGUCGAAAGAUUAAAGUGUGGGACCUUCGGGCCACAUGCCAUAGGAUGAGCCCAAGUGGGAUUAGGUAGUUGGUGAGGUAAAGGCUCACCAAGCCGACGAUCUCUAGCUGGUCUGAGAGGAUGACCAGCCACACUGGGACUGAGACACGGCCCAG